GCGUACCUUUUGUAUAAUGGGUCAGCGACUUACUGUUCGUGGCAAGCUUAACCGUAUAGGGGAGGCGAAGGGAAACCGAGUCUGAUAAGGGCGCAUAGUCGCGGGCAGUAGACCCGAAACCGGGUGAUCUAGUCAUGCCCAGGGUGAAGGUGCGGUAACACGCACUGGAGGCCCGAACCCACUCCCGUUGCAAAGGUAGGGGAUGAGGUGUGAUUAGGAGUGAAAAGCUAAUCGAACCCGGAGAUAGCUGGUUCUCCUCGAAAGCUAUUUAGGUAGCGCCUCAUAUGUAUCCUCUCGGGGGUAGAGCACUGUUAUGGCUAGGGGGUCAUCGCGACUUACCAAACCAUUGCAAACUCCGAAUACCGAGACGGACUGUAUGGGAGACACACGGCGGGUGCUAACGUCCGUCGUGAAAAGGGAAACAACCCAGACCCACAGCUAAGGUCCCAAAUUUUGUGCUAAGUGGAAAACCAUGUGGAAAGGCACAGACAGCCAGGAGGUUGGCUUAGAAGCAGCCACCCUUUAAAGAAAGCGUAAUAGCUCACUGGUCGAGUCGGUCUGCGGGGAAGAUUUAACGGGGCUAAGCACAGAACCGAAGCUUGGGGUGCAUACUUUGUAUGCGCGGUAGAGGAGCGUUCCGUAAGCCGUUGAAGGUGGAUUGAGAAGUCUGCUGGAGGUAUCGGAAGUGCGAAUGCUGACAUGAGUAACGAUAAUGCGGGUGAAAAACCCGCACGCCGAAAGCCCAAGGUUUCCUUGCGCAACGUUAAUCGGCGCAGGGUGAGUCGGCCCCUAAGGCGAGGACGAAAGUCGUAGUCGAUGGGAAGCAGGUUAAUAUUCCUGCACCUCGCGUAAGUGCGAUGGAGGGACGGAGAAGGUUAGGUGUACCAGGCGUUGGUUGUCCUGGGGAAAGGCGGUAGGUUUGGAUCUUUGGCAAAUCCGGGAUCCUCUAAGACCGAGCACCGAGACGAGCCUUUAUGGCGAAGUCACUGAUACCACGCUUCCAGGAAAAGCUCCUAAGCUUCAGCUUACGCAGACCGUACCGUAAACCGACACAGGUGGGUAGGAUGAGAAUUCUCAGGCGCUUGAGAGAACUCGGGUGAAGGAACUAGGCAACAUGGCACCGUAACUUCGGGAGAAGGUGCACCCUUUUUGGUGGCUCGUGCGAGCUAUAGCUGAAGAGGGUCGCAGUAACCAGGCCGCUGCGACUGUUUAUCAAAAACACAGCACUCUGCAAACACGAAAGUGGACGUAUAGGGUGUGACGCCUGCCCGGUGCUGGAAGGUUAAUUGAUGGGGUCAGCCGCAAGGCGAAGCUCUUGAUCGAAGCCCCAGUAAACGGCGGCCGUAACUAUAACGGUCCUAAGGUAGCGAAAUUCCUUGUCGGGUAAGUUCCGACCUGCACGAAUGGCGUAACGACUUCUCAGCUGUCUCAACCGUAGACUCGGCGAAAUUGCAUUACGAGUAAAGAUGCUCGUUACGCGCGGCAGGACGAAAAGACCCCGGGACCUUCACUACAGCUUGGUAUUGGUGUUCGGUUCGGUUUGUGUAGGAUAGGUGGGAGACUGUGAAACGGUGACGCCAGUUAUCGUGGAGUCGUUGUUGAAAUACCACUCUGAUCGAAUUGGACCUCUAACCUCGGACCAUGAUCUGGUUCAGGGACAGUGCCUGGUGGGUAGUUUAACUGGGGCGGUUGCCUCCCAAAAUGUAACGGAGGCGCCCAAAGGUUCCCUCAGCCUGGUUGGCAAUCAGGUGUCGAGUGCAAGUGCACAAGGGAGCUUGACUGUGAGACUGACAGGUCGAGCAGGGACGAAAGUCGGGACUAGUGAUCCGGCACCGGCAAGUGGAAGCGGUGUCGCUCAACGGAUAAAAGGUACCCCGGGGAUAACAGGCUGAUCUUCCCCAAGAGUCCAUAUCG
rnacentral:rRNA from 1 species